AAGUCGUAACAAGGUUUCCGUAGGUGAACCUGCGGAAGGAUCAUUAUCACGUAUAUCCACGUUAUAAACCCUUCAACGAACUGUUUUUAUCGAAUGAUGAUUUUGCGUUGCGGAAAGCUCCUCUUUGUUGGGGAGCUGGAAGCAAUGUAAAAUUUUCAAUUUCAUUAACCAUUUCAACCCAUUUUUAUACUUUUGAACUAAUUCUUUUUUUUUUUCAUCGUCAAACAUGAAAAAAAAAAUAUUUACGAAACAAAGAACAACUCUUAGCAACGGAUAUCUUGGUUCUC
rnacentral:misc_RNA from 1 species